UACAGAGGGUGCAAGCGUUAAUCGGAUUUACUGGGCGUAAAGCGUGCGUAGGCGGUUCAUUAAGUCGGUUGUGAAAUCCCUGGGCUUAACCUGGGAACUGCAGUCGAUACUGAUGGACUAGAGUACGGUAGAGGGUGGCGGAACUCCGGGUGUAGCGGUGAAAUGCGUAGAUAUCCGGAAGAACACCGAUGGCGAAGGCAACCACCUGGGCCUGUACUGACGCCGAGGUACGAAAGCGUGGGGAGCAAACAGG
rnacentral:rRNA from 1 species